UACGGGGGGUGCGAGCGUUGUCCGGAAUCACUGGGCGUAAAAGGCGCGUAGGUGGUUUGAUAAGGGUGUGGUGAAAGUCCGGAGCUCAACUCCGGAUCUGCCGUGCCGACUGUCAAACUCGAGGGCUGUAGAGGCAGACGGAAUUCCGGGUGUAGCGGUGGAAUGCGUAGAGAUCCGGAGGAAGACCGGUGGCGAAGGCGGUCUGCUGGGCAGUUUCUGACACUGAGGCGCGACAGCGUGGGGAGCAAACAGG
rnacentral:rRNA from 1 species